rnacentral:rRNA from 1 species
ACCCUAAGGCCAGCGGGAGAACUGUUGUUAAGGAACUCGGCAAAAUGACCCCGUAACUUCGGGAGAAGGGGUGCCUUCGAAAGAAGGCGCAGAGAAUAGGCCCAAGCGACUGUUUACCAAAAACAUAGGUUUCUGCUAAGUCGCAAGGCGAUGUAUAGGAGCUGACGCCUGCCCGGUGCUGGAAGGUUAAGGGGAUCUGUUAGAGCAAUCGAAGCAGUGAACUUAAGCCCCAGUAAACGGCGGCCGUAACGAUAACGGUCCUAAGGUAGCGAAAUUCCUUGUCGGGUAAGUUCCGACCCGCACGAAAGGCGUAACGAUUUGGGCACUGUCUCAACAACAGACUCGGUGAAAUUGUAAUACCGGUGAAGAUGCCGGUUACCUGCGACAGGACGGAAAGACCCCAUGGAGCUUUACUGUAGCUUGACAUUGAGUCUCGGUGCUACAUGUACAGGAUAGGUGGGAGACUAUGAAGCAUGGACGUCAGUCUGAGUGGAGUCAUCCUUGGGAUACCACCCUUGUAGUACUGGGAUUCUAACCAGAGGCCAUGAAUCUGGUCUUGGGACACUGUCAGGUGGACAGUUUGACUGGGGCGGUCGCCUCCCAAAAAGUAACGGAGGCGCUCAAAGGUUCUCUCAGUACGGUCGGAAAUCGUACGAAGAGUGUAAAGGCAAAAGAGAGCUUGAUUGCAAGACAUACAGGUCGAGCAAGGACGAAAGUCGGACUUAGUGAUCCGGUGGUUCCGCAUGGAAGGGCCAUCGCUCAACGGAUAAAAGCUACCCUGGGGAUAACAGGCUGAUCUCCCCCAAGAGUCCACAUCGACGGGGAGGUUUGGCACCUCGAUGUCGGCUCAUCACAUCCUGGGGCUGUAGUAGGUCCCAAGGGUUGGGCUGUUCGCCCAUUAAAGUGGUACGCGAGCUGGGUUCAGAACGUCGUGAGACAGUUCGGUCCCUAUCCGUCGCAGGCGUAGGAAAUUUGAGGAGACCUGUCCUUAGUACGAGAGGACCGGGAUGGACGUACCGCUGGUGCACCAGUUGUUCUGCCAAGGGCAUGGCUGGGUAGCUAAGUACGGAAAGGAUAAGCGCUGAAAGCAUCUAAGCGCGAAGCCCACUUCAAGAUAAGAUUUCCCACCGCAAGGUUAAGAUCCCAGGAAGACUACCUGGUUGAUAGGUCAGAGGUGUAAGUGCAGUAAUGUAUUUAGCUUACUGAUACUAAUAGAUCGAGGACUUGACCU